rnacentral:sRNA from 1 species
GGGGAGGCGAGGCGGUAGCGCUGAGCUGAGGCCGGGCAGCGCGGCCCCGCGCAGGAGGAGGCGGCCGGGACACCGGCGAGUCCCCAGCAGGGCCCCUGGGCUCCCGGAAGAUGAAGAAAAUGAGGUUUAGCAAGCCUGACAAGACCUAGAGCUAGGCCAUCUGAUCCCAUCUCUAGUGUCUGCAUCUGGAGACAGUGGUUCUCCACCCCGGCUGCACACUCAGAUCUUCGGGGGAGCUGAACACUGCUGUCUGAGUUCCAUCUCAGACCAACUGAAUCAGAAUCCAGUUCCUCAGGGGGAUUCUCGCUUGCUCCAAGCAGAGCUGGAGGUGCUGCCAUGUGGGCACUUAGGUGAACACGAGAAGCCUCGUUCUAGAACAAUGAGUCACAGCCUGCUCGUUUAGCCAUCCAGCCCAGGUGCCACCGCCUUCUUCCCUUCACAACUGCAGGUUUAUUUGCUUCUGCCUCUGAAGAGGUGAGGGUCUCCAGCCACCUGCCCUUCCCGAGAGGAGAGAGCUCUGGGCCUUCUUCCUGCCAGUCUGGUCUUCGAGUGCAUUCAGGACAGAUAGACCUUGGUACGGGCUGCCCCGAGAUUCCUGCAGCGCUGUCUGUUCCUGCCUUCUGUGGAUCAUGGCACCCACAGGAUUCCAGGACGGAUCAUAGACACGAGCCUCCAGGAGGGCGCCCUGUGCGGCUCACUGCGCGGUCCCUC